GCCGGGUGCGGUGGUGCAUGCCUGUAAUCCCAGUGGCUCAGGAGGCUGAGACAGGAGGAUUGAGGGUUCAAAGUCAGCCUCAGCAAUGGCGGGGCUCAGUGAAACCCUGUCCCUA
rnacentral:sRNA from 1 species